GCGGCCUAUCAGCUUGUUGGUGAGGUAACGGCUCAGCAAGGGGAGGACGGGUAGCCGGCGAGAGAGGGUGAACGGCCACACUGGGAGACAGAUACGGCCCAGAUUCGUACGGGAGGCAGCAGUGAUGAAUCAUUCACAAUGGGCGAAAGCCUGAUGAUGCAACGCCGGGGGGAGGAUGAAGGCCUUUGGGUUGUAAACUCCUGUCAGGGAUUAGGAAUCUGACCAAUCCCAGAGGAAGCACCGGCUAAAUUCGUGCCAGCAGCCGCGGUAAUACGAAUGGUGCGAGCGUUGUUCGGAAUUACUGGGCAUAAAGGGUCCGUAGGCGGCCGCAUAAGUCACCUGUGAAAGCCCCCGGCUCAACCGGGGAAUUGCAGAUGAUACUGGUCGGCUUGAGGUUGUGAGGGGUGAGCGGAAUUCCAGGUGUAGCGGUGAAAUGCGUAGAUAUGGGGGAGACCGCCGACGGGGAAGGCAGUUCACUGGCCCAUACCGGACGUUGAGGGAGGAAAGCGUGGGGAGCAACCAGGAUUAGAUACCUGGGUAGUCCACCCGGUAAACGAUGGGCAUUAGACAGUGGACGGUUCUGACCCGUUCAUGUCGGAGCAAAUGCGGUAAGUGCCCCGCCUGGGGAGUACGG
rnacentral:rRNA from 1 species